rnacentral:lncRNA from 1 species
GUCAGAGAUGUAGGCGUAUGUCUCUUCCUAUUUGGAGCACUGAUGAUGCAUGGUAGGGCCUGAGAGUUUCCCCUCAGGACUGUCCCUACUCCAGUUUUAGCUGAGAUUUCUUUAGUUAUUGCACACUUGUAAUAUAGUCUAUGCCAUUUCUGACAAUGAAAAAUUUUUGUUGGCUAUACCCACAGCAUGUGGAAGUUCCCAGGCAAGUAUUGAACCUGUGCCAUAGCAGCAUCCCAAGCCACUGAGCAAGGCCAGGGAUCGAACCUGCAACCUCAUGGUUCCUAGUUGGAUUCAUUAACAACUGCGCCAUGAUGGGAUCUCCCUCCUUUUGUCCUCUUUAAAUAAUAGCAUAAUUAUAGAGCAUGGCACUUGCAGCUGAUGCUGUUUCAUACUUUAUAAGCUGAGCUGGUUGAUUGCUCCAUUUUUUUCAUCCAGUUAAUCCCUUAGUCUUGAAAAUAGGUCAGUUUAAUUAAAUAGCUGUGUCUGAUUUUAGGAGGUGAUAAUGCAGCUGGGCUCCUAAACUUAGGCUUAUAUUGUGCUAUAAAUCUGAUAUUCAAUAAGGCAUUUCUAUAGAAACAAAAGAAAAACAAUAGUUAAUGAUUGGAACAGACUGUAGUCCUGGUUCUGAAGCAGUCAGUUAAGAAGAUUUCUUGACCUGGCUUGGUCUCGCUUGAUCUGGCUCAGUCUGGAUGAGGUAUCUUUAGGUGGAGAAAGGGUAGACAUUGUCAAUCUGAUAGAUUUUCCUGGUUUGCAGUUUGAAUGUCUCUGGUAAUCUUUCUGAAGGGGUAUAUAGCAACAGGCUAUAUAAUCUUCAUAUGUCAUGAAGAUUAAGGUGUUAUGGUGAUUUUUCUGAAGUUUAUAUUGAGUUGUCCUAAUUUAGUUUGUAUGGCUUUGGAUGCUUUCAUGUUAGAAGGAUGGGAAUAAACAUCGGAAAUGUUAGUUUGGAGAGUUGUAGCCAAAUAUUGUAGAAACUGAGAAUUCAGGGUUUAGUCCAGUUUAUAGGUUAGAAACAAAUCCUCAAAGACAAUUAACAAAACUAGAAUCUAUUAUUGACAAGUGUGUAUUACAGUUUCUACUAAAACAUAUUUUUUUCUCUAUAGUCACUAGUACUUAUUCAAUUAAAGAUAAUCAUAUUAAGACUAAUAUUUUUGAAAAUUAGUAGAGUUUCAAUAAACUUGGCUUAUUAUUCACAUAAGAACAACAAGAAUAGCAAUUGACUAUAUAAGAUCUUUACAGAAUGCUUUGCUGGGACAUUUCAUAAGAAAUCUCAGAUUGGGAGUUCCCAUCGUGACUCAGUGUUAACAAUCCAGACUAGUAUCCGUGAGGAUGUGGGUUUGAUCCCUGGCCUCGCUCAGUGGGUUAAGUAUCUGGCAUUACCAUGGUGUAGGUUGCAGAUGCAGCUCCAAUCUGGUGUUGCUGUGGCUGCGGUGUAGGCCAGCAGCUGCGGCUACAGUUUGACCCCUAGCCUGGGAACUUCCGUAUGCUGCGGGUGUGGCUCUAAAAAGCCGAAAAAAAAAAAAAAAAAAAAA